AACAGUCAAAUUGAAAAUCCAUCACCUGUUCAAAAAAGAACUUCCAGGCGUGGUGGUCGCGGACAACGUGGUCGUGGCAGUCGUGGUGGACGUGUAGGCCGUCUGAAAUCAUAUCAACACGCUGGAGGUCAAUACGCGAUAGGUUUAUGCGUGACCUCAAUCAUGAACGAACGGCGCCAAGUGGUUCGGGUACUUCUCGGAGGAAACCUUACCAAUAUGCACUACAUCUUCAAUUUCUUCAACGUUGUUUUCAGCAGCGCAUGACUCAUUCAAGCACACUCCCUCCUGAAGCAGAACCUGUUGAACAUGAGGACUCAACCGAACAAUUGUCUGGACGAUCUACCGAUCAAACUUCAUUACCAUCUCAGUCACAGGAUUCUGCUCUGGAGUCGCGCGGCCGGCAAACUGAGACAUGUGCUCAGA